UACGUAGGGUGCGAGCGUUGUCCGGAAUUAUUGGGCGUAAAGAGCUUGUAGGCGGUUUGUCGCGUCCGCUGUGAAAUCUCAAGGCUCAACCUUGAGCUUGCAGUGGGUACGGGCAGACUAGAGUGUGGUAGGGGAGACUGGAAUUCCUGAUGUAGCGGUGAAAUGCGCAGAUAUCAGGAGGAACACCGAUGGCGAAGGCAGGUCUCUGGGCCACUACUGACGCUGAGAAGCGAAAGCAUGGGGAGCGAACAGG
rnacentral:rRNA from 1 species